rnacentral:rRNA from 1 species
AGGGUUUGAUUAUGGCUCAGGAUGAACGCUAGCGGCAGGCUUAACACAUGCAAGUCGAGGGGUAACAGGGAGCUUGCUCCGCUGACGACCGGCGCACGGGUGCGUAACGCGUAUAGAACCUACCUUUUACUGAGGGAUAGCCUUUAGAAAUGAAGAUUAAUACCUCAUGGUAUUGUAAACUGGCAUCGGUUUAUAAUUAAAGAUUUAUUGGUAAAAGAUGGCUAUGCGUCCUAUUAGCUAGAUGGUAAGGUAACGGCUUACCAUGGCAACGAUAGGUAGGGGCCCUGAGAGGGGGAUCCCCCACACUGGUACUGAGACACGGACCAGACUCCUACGGGAGGCAGCAGUGAGGAAUAUUGGGCAAUGGAGGCAACUCUGACCCAGCCAUGCCGCGUGCAGGAAGACUGCCCUAUGGGUUGUAAACUGCUUUUAUACAGGAAGAAACACACCUACGUGUAGGUGCUUGACGGUACUGUAAGAAUAAGCACCGGCUAACUCCGUGCCAGCCGCCGCGGUAAUAC